UACGAAGGGGGCUAGCGUUGCUCGGAAUCACUGGGCGUAAAGCGCACGUAGGCGGCUUUCUAAGUCAGGGGUGAAAUCCUGGAGCGCAACUCCAGAACUGCCUUUGAUACUGGAGAGCUUGAGUCCGGAAGAGGUGAGUGGAACUCCGAGUGUAGAGGUGAAAUUCGUAGAUAUUCGGAAGAACACCAGUGGCGAAGGCGGCUCACUGGCCCGAUACUGACGCUGAGGUGCGAAAGCGUGGGGAGCAAACAGGG
rnacentral:rRNA from 1 species